AACGUACGCUGGCGGCACGCCUAACACAUGCAAGUCGAACGAAGUAGCAAUACUUAGUGGCAGACGGGUGAGUAACAUGUGGGUAUCUACCCUUUGGCCUGGAAUAACACGAGGAAACUUGUGCUAAUACUGGAUAAGUCUUUACGGAGAAAGCUUUAUGCACCAUUGGAUGAGCCUGCACUUGAUUAGUUUGUUGGUGGGGUAAUGGCCUACCAAGACUGUGAUCAAUAGCUGAUUUGAGAGGAUGAUCAGCCACAUUGGGACUGAGACACGGCCCAAACUCCUACGGGAGGCAGCAGUGGGGAAUCUUGCACAAUGGAGGAAACUCUGAUGCAGCGAUGCCGCGUGAGUGAAGAAGGCCCUUGGGUUGUAAAGCUCUUUCGUCGGGGAAGAAAAUGACUGUACCCGAAUAAGAAGGUCCGGCUAACUUCGUGCCAGCAGCCGCGGUAAUACGAAGGGACCUAGCGUAGUUCGGAAUUACUGGGCUUAAAGAGUUCGUAGGUGGUUGAAAAAGUUAAUGGUGAAAUCCCAGAGCUUAACUCUGGAACUGCCAUUAAAACUUUUCAGCUAGAGUAUGAUAGAGGAAAGCAGAAUUUCUAGUGUAGAGGUGAAAUUCGUAGAUAUUAGAAAGAAUACCAAUUGCGAAGGCAGCUUUCUGGAUCAUUACUGACACUGAGGAACGAAAGCAUGGGUAGCGAAGAGGAUUAGAUACCCUCGUAGUCCAUGCCGUAAACGAUGUGUGUUAGACGUUGGAAAUUUAUUUUCAGUGUCGCAGGAAAACCGAUAAACACACCGCCUGGGGAGUACGACCGCAAGGUUA
rnacentral:rRNA from 1 species